GUUCCGAGUCAGUUGAUUUUGAACUAAUCAAAAAGGAGGUCAUUUUGGUUGGGCCUGACUUAAUUAGUUGAAAACCCUUAAAAGACUAACCUAGCCGUCCCCAAUGAGAAGGACUCUCUCUCCUUCCAACCAGAGGGAUCUUGGAAGACGAUCUUUCCCUCGCUGAUCCUCUGAAUGAGAAUGCAAUCUAACAAGUAGAUUUCAGCUUCAUGAGAUCCUGAACAGAGGACCCAGGAAAACUUGAACCAGGGGGUAAACUGAGAUAGAGUUGGCCAGAGCCGGAAAUUAUAACAAGCUGUGAACAAUCAUUGAAGCUUCCUGAAGGUACUAGAGUGGUCUUUGCUGUGAUCUUCAGAAUUGCAUACGUUUUAUUAGUCAGCUGUAUAGAAGCGGGUACUAUGCCUUCUACCUAUCCCUGGGCCUCUAUGAUGGAGUGCCUACCAUUUUUCAGCCACUAUCCAGUAAAAUUGGUCUACAAGUGGCCACAUGACCCAAUUUUGGCCAGUGCAAUAAAAGUUGAAAUCUCUGAGUAGAGCUUCCGGGAAGACUUUCUAACAGAGAGAGGCUUGGCAGGCACACCACUUUGCCCUUCACCAUUUGUUCCUCUUUUUCCAAGAGCAUAUAAGUAAGUACAACAGCCAUCUUGAAACUUCAAGGAAAAGGCCAUAUCUAACAAACAGCACACAGAAAUAUUGAAGAGACCCUGGUUCCUGAUAGUGUCACUGAGUCAGUAUACCAGCUCUGGUCUGCUUAUCAUCAGACACCCUAUUAAGCGAGAAAAAUAAAUCUACAU
rnacentral:lncRNA from 1 species